UACGUAUGGUGCAAGCGUUAUCCGGAUUUACUGGGUGUAAAGGGAGCGCAGGCGGCACGGCAAGCCUGAUGUGAAAGCCCGCGGCCCAACCGCGGGACUGCAUUGGGAACUACCGGGCUGGAGUGCCGGGGAGGUAGGCGGAAUUCCUAGUGUAGCGGUGAAACGCGUAGAUAUUAGGAGGAACACCAGUGGCGAAGGCGGCCUACUGGACGGUGACUGACGCUGAGGCUCGAAAGCGUGGGGAGCAAACAGG
rnacentral:rRNA from 1 species